rnacentral:rRNA from 1 species
AGUGAACGCUGGCGGUAGGCCUAACACAUGCAAGUCGAACGGCAGCACAGUAAGAGCUUGCUCUUACGGGUGGCGAGUGGCGGACGGGUGAGGAAUACAUCGGAAUCUACUUUUUCGUGGGGGAUAACGAAGGGAAACUUACGCUAAUACCGCAUACGACCUACGGGUGAAAGCAGGGGAUCUUCGGACCUUGCGCGAUUGAAUGAGCCGAUGUCGGAUUAGCUAGUUGGCGGGGUAAGGGCCCACCAAGGCGACGAUCCGUAGCUGGUCUGAGAGGAUGAUCAGCCACACUGGAACUGAGACACGGUCCAGACUCCUACGGGAGGCAGCAGUGGGGAAUAUUGGACAAUGGGCGCAAGCCUGAUCCAGCCAUACCGCGUGGGUGAAGAAGGCCUUCGGGUUGUAAAGCCCUUUUGUUGGGAAAGAAAAGCAGCAGGUUAAUACCCCGCUGUUCUGACGGUACCCAAAGAAUAAGCACCGGCUAACUUCGUG